rnacentral:rRNA from 1 species
AUGGCGUGCCACCGCCGCCGCCAUCGCCGCCGCAACCACCGGGACGGCGGCUGGUCUCCUCUGCGCGGAUGCAGGCGUCGCGGUGGGUCUGGUCGGGAGGGACGAGGCCUCCUCGCCCACCACGGGGAGCGCGCUGAACAUCUCCGUUGGCCGCAGACCGUGGAAAAAUCAUCUCGCUGCCCCUGCGAGUUCGCCGCCAAGCUGCUCGUCGCCGUGGUGCUUGCCAUCACGCACCGGCCACCAUGGCUCGUCGGCACCAGCUUUGCUGCUGCGCACUUCUCCCCCGGCCAUCGUGCAGCCGUGGCCACCACCAGCUCGCAGCCUCUACUACCACCACCACUCCUGCUGCUCGCCAUGACCACACCCGUCCACCACCACCGCCCCCAAGCAAAAUCCCGCCUCCGCCCCGCAUCAAACGCCUGGAUCCGCGGACUGCCGCCGCCGCAGCACGACCUAAAUCGAUGGAGAGUGGAGAGCUGGAGCUCGCCGGUGGAGAGGAUUAGGAACCUCUGA